GGCUUUUAUGGGCAGUCUGACCUCAAGGGUAACAAGCAGGUGACAGAGGCGCACCCUACAUUUUCCAAACUAAAAGUUAAGCACAGGUUUAUUUUGUUAGAAAAGGGGAGGGUUUUUUUUUCUUUUCUUUUUUAAUACUGUCAUUAUUGUCUUUAUCUUGUACCUGAUGUGCUGCCGACCCUUGUUUGUUGGCAGGUUCUUUGGAGUCUACCGAGCCCACGUAUAUAUCUAAAGUGCAGGGCACAGGAAUCACCCCACCUCCAACUCCUACAUCAAGUCAUUCUAAACACAGAUUUCCUGGACAAAAGUUAUUUAGAAGGUCUUUAAGGAAUUCAGAUGGUUUCAGUGAGACCAGCUCGGUGAGUCAUGCUGAUGAUCUGGACAGAGGAGAGCCACGACCUGGCAGUUCACUGGUCGGCCAAGAGAAUGCCGAGCAGCCGGACGAGAUGGAAAUUCUUAGCCAGGAAACAACUGAAGACACCCCGGGAGACAAGACCAGGACCCCAGGAACGGACUACAGUACAUCUGAGGGACACGAGAGUUUGAGAUAAAAUUCUAGAUGCUGCACAUUCAGACUACAGAAAAUGCACUCCCUCUGUAGCAGGGUCCUUUAAAGAUUAAAAUGUGAACAGUGCCAUAGUUAGUACAGUGAUACCUACUGUUAACAUGUGAUUGGAGAUUUUGCACAAAGAUUAGCAGAAGAAUUCUUCUCUCCUCCACCCUUUAACCUGCUUGUGGGGCCUUGUUUUUACUGUACACUUUGUUAACAAUCCCUCUUUGUCCUUUCGUACAUUCACACGUCCGAGGAAGUUUGCAAGGGACAGUUUCAACUUGACUUUGGGGGCAUCCUAAAGAAGGAUUUGUUUGUUAUUAUUAUUAUUAUUAUCAGCCGUGCUCUUCCCAAAUAUCUCAUUUCUCAAAAGAUAAGUUGCACUCGGUGCUUUUGGAUGGUGAUAUUCAAACAUUUCUAAUUUCUGUUAAAUAAAUCAACCUGUGAUUACUCUAUUAUGUUGAAAUGUUGUAUUUUAAUAGGAAAACAAUGUCCAUAGCCAACCUGUCUUUUAAACCUUAGCUUUGUUUUAUGAAAAUCUUAUUUCAGAAUUUUGCUUCAUGUGUUCCGUGAUAGAAAAGCGAACCUUUGCUGUGGUUUUUCUCUUUCCCACAUGUAGUAAGGUUAUAAGAGAAUGUCCAAGGCCCGUGUUUUCUAAUAAAUCCUUUCUGUAGCCUCUCCUGGGAGCUAAUAACCUGUCUUCCAUUUCUCGACUUAAAAAGCCAUUUAGAAUCAAAUUCAAAUGGCACGUUUUGCAUCAAGAGUCGCAAUCACCCUGGCUCUUUUACGUUGCAUCUCUUUUGACAGAUGUUGGUAAAACACUUGAAUUGACAUGUCACACCCCUGUGAUCAUUCCUGUACUCCUGGGUUUUUCUGAUCAAUCGCUUCCAGUUGUUAGAUAUUGUAAAUAGCCAAAGAAAUUAUUAGGUUAUAUAAAUGCUGCUGUGCUAUUUUAAAAAGAUAGAUGUCCUAAGCUUUUUGUUUUAAAGCCAAGAGCAUUCAGGAAUGUAUUUCUCCCCGUUGUAAUUAUGCCUUCACUUUAGUGAGUGACUUCUUUUCCUCUGGCGCUUGCAUCUCAUCACACCCAGAGGACCGUAAUUGUAAGAGUGACCUGACGUGAUUAAUUUUCUUCUGAAACCUUGAUCAGUUGUUUGAAGGUCACAUGGUUAAGAAUGGCAACUUUGCCAAAAGGAUGAGUAAUCCUAUUUCAUGAAGGCCUUUCUUACGGUCGAUGGCUUGCUUCUUGUGGUUUUCUUGUUUGUGCAAAAUUAAGUACAGCCAGCCCUAACACCCCACCCCGACAGAGGAGAUGGAUUUAGGAGCACCUCUUAUAAAAAGACAUGCCCACCACUGCAACAGUUUCUGUUUGCCACCAUAAAUAAUCCAGUAUUACAGGGAUUGGAGGGGAAAAAAUUAAGUACAAUCUUUAUGGCAACAUCUGGUUUAUGCUUCAUCUCACCAAGCCCAUUUUCUUCUUCAAGGACCUCAACUGGAUUGGGCUUACAGUAGUCUCCAGAGAAUUUUGUCAGUGGAUUUUGACAAAAUGGUUGUGGGGUUUGGGCACUGGUUUAGGAUGUUUCGAUUGAGGGCUGUUUGUUCAAUGUCCAUUAAAUAUUUCCUCAUCGCUCUCCAAAAUGCAAGAGGCUGGGAAAUCUUCAUUUAAAACAUGGACUUGCUUUGAUAAGCUCACGUUGGUUCCCCAAAUAAAGGUGGACCUUUAAAAUGCAAAUGUAAUUAUUGUCUUCCGUGACAGUUUAUUUGAUGCAACGAAUUAUAAUUAACUUGGAUUAACUGAGGGAGAAAAAGUAAAAGUUAUAAUUGUUAAAACAAACUUUAAUGUUUUUAUAUUUUUAAGCAGGCAGUUUUGCUGGAAUACAGACCUGAUUUAGAUACUUCCCAAAUGCUUCAAUAAAGGUUCUUGAAAUUGUUA